rnacentral:lncRNA from 1 species
GGAUAAAGUGUCCAAACACAGAGAAAAACUCCUGCUGAAGCGACUGAUCUCCACACUGUAAUAAAGAUGGCGUUUAUUAAAGAGGAGAGUGAAGAUGUGAGGAUUGAAGAAACAUUCACAGUCAAACAGGAAGAUCUGCAAGAACAAACAGACGUGAUGGUGCUGAAAGAAGAGACUCAUCAAUGGAAUGAAAUGGAAGACAAACAUCAAGACAUAUUGACUGAUGAAAAACCCACACUGACUAAAAAGACUUCAUCACACGGAAGACCUCGGAAAUCCAAAUCUAUGUGUAAUUUCAGCAGUAACCAGUGUAGAAAGAGUUUCAGUCAAAAGCCAAAGCUUGAUGUUCACAAUAGGGAGAAACUUUACACCUGCAAACAGUGUGGAAAGAGUUUUCCUAAAAUUCAUGGCUUUAAAGCCCACAUGAGAAUUCACAUUGGAGUGAGGCCGUACAAAUGCCAACAGUGUGGAAAGAGUUUUAAGCAAAAUAGCAACCUUGAAGUUCACAUGAGAACUCACAAUGAAGGAAGAAUUUUUUCUUGCACACAGUGUGGGAAAGGUUUUGCUAAAAAACACAACCUUAACAUCCACAUGAGGAUUCACGCUGGAGAGAAACCUUACACAUGCACAGAAUGUGGUCAAAGUUUCCCAUAUAAAACCACAUUCAAUAGCCACAGGAGAAUUCACACUGGAGAGAAACCUUACAGCCGGCACACGACCGACCUUCAACGUUGAAAUAUGGUUGAAAUAAGGUCAGUUGUGUUUUGAAAGUUGAAAUAAUGUUGAUAGAACGUUUAAUGUUGAAUGGUUGAAAAACAGCCUGCAUAUGACAAGGCUUCAACGUUGAAAUGUGGUUGAAAAUAUGUCAGUUGUUGCUUUCAUGUUGAAACAAUGUUAAAUGAUAAAUGGUUGAAAAAAGUUACAGAAAUCCUUGUACAAAUCAACGUUGACAUUUUUUAUCAUGAUCUGUAUGUUGAAUUAACGUCAUGGCUUCACCCAACAUUCAACAUGUUUGGUUACCAUGGUAUUGGAGGACUCCGCGCACGCGGCCACGCGCAGCGCUUCACUUCACUUAAUUACGAACACCUGACCUGCAGUGCAGCAGAAUUCAGAGACAUGUAACUUACUCCAGAGACGCACUAACUUGCACAGCAUUGAAUGGAAAAGGCUUUGUCCAUGUCCAGUUGAGGGGCAUCAAGAACACGCAGAUGGCCUAAACCUGUGUCAGCCUGGACAGACUGCAGUUCUGCUACUCCACACCAAGGCUUUUGUAUGGAUGUCUUGACUGCUACUGUGUUCUCUAAAGGUUUUCUGGAAGCUCCAUUUGAGGGCAUCAAGGACAUACUGAUGGCCUAAACCAGUGUCAGCCUAGACAGACAGACAUCUAUUGCAGUUCUGCUACACAAGACCAAACUCUCUGCUUUUGUAUGGAUGUCUGACUAGUACCGUGUUCUCUAAAGGUGUAACUGGAGCAAAACAACAGCACCCGUUACAGUGAAAUUUGCAUUCAUAAAAGAUAGUGAUAUAUCAGGUAUAGUAACAGGUCCAGUACAUUUGUCAUAAAGGUUAAAUCACAGUAAGUACUGUAAAAAUAACUUGUUUGCCUUUGCCACAACAGGUCAUGGUGUGUGCAUACUGCUCGUAGUAAACACACACGCUGAUCUGAUGCGGGAGAGAUAUAUGCAAACACAUUUGUAUUUACUGUUUUGUUUUGCCUCACUAAAGUGUUGUUGGAGCUUGGUAUGUUCACAGUGGAAAUCACUGAAGUCACAUGGAACGUUUUGACAAUGUGUUUUGUGCCUUAUCUUGACAAUGACUAUCUUGGGACCAUUGCUGUCUGUAGAGGAUGAGGAGCAUUUAAUCUAACAUAUUUUAGUUUGUGUUCUGAAGAUUAACAAGUAUCUGGGAUGACACAAGUAAUUAAUAACAGAACCUAUAUGAACAGUUAAUGUGACAUGUAAUAGUGAAAUAGUGGUCCUACAUUCACAAAUGUGAGCCAUUAUUAUAAGACCCAUGUGAACAUGCAAUUUUUAUGAUACUAAUAAUAAUAAUGGAAUAACAAAUUGCUUUUACUGUUGUCUUUGUGAGAGAGAAUCAAACCAUAUAUUCUACACAUUUUCUUGAUGAUUUACUGAAAUAUUUGUCUAUGUUCCACUGUCACAGGUGCUCAGUUUUGCUGCAGUAAUGCUAAACACAAUAGAUGUACUUUA